GUCGCCCAGAAGCUCCUCAAUGGCCGGCGCAAGUGCCAGCCAGCGCCAGCUGCAGCCCUGGCCGCGCACUCGCCUCAGCUGAGCCUGGGGCCUUCACCAUCUCUGCCAUCUGGAGAAUUUGUUCCCAUCAGGAAUCUCCCACCUGGCAGUGGGACCAUGCUAGUAGCCUGUCCAUUUCCUGCAGAUAAAAAAAAGAGGUAUCGGUAAUACAUGCAUAUAUAUAAAACAAGUGGUAAUAUUUGGAUCGUAUGCAAUACUCAUGAUGGUGUGACAAAACAAAACAAAAAAUGUGGAGGUUUAAAAAUCUGGCUUUAAAUUCCUUUUGCAUUUUGUUUGCCUUCACAUUCUUGUUCUGCCACUUAGUUUGAUGGGAAACCUUAGGCAAAUUUCUUAAUCUGAGAUUCAAUUUCUUUUCUUUUUUUUUUUUUUUUUUGUGACAGGAUCUCACUCUGUCACCCAGGCUGGAGUGCAGUCAUGCAGUCUUGGCUCACUACAGCCUCUGCCCCCGUGGGCUCAAGCAAUCCUCCCACCUCAGCCUCCUGAGUAGCUGGGACCACAAGUGUGCACCACCACGCCUGGCUAAUUUUUGUAUUUUUUGUAGAGAUGGGGUUUUGUUAUGUUGCCCAGGCUGGUCUCAAACUCCUGAGAUCAAGUGAUCCUUCCACCUCAGCCUCCCAAAGUGCUGGAAUUACAGGUGUGAGCCAACACGCCCGGCUGAGAUUCAAUUUCUUCAUCUGAAAAAUGAGGAUACCUAUGGACAACUGUAGCUUGUUCAUAAAAGAAAAAAAAAUAAGUAUGAAAAAUGGGGAUACUAUCUCACUAUCUCUUAGGUAGUAGCUGUAUCAAUUAAAGUAACAUGGAACCAGGUUCAAUGGCUCAGAGACAGGGUGCAGAAGCGAAGGCAGGAGGAUUGCUUGAGCCCAGGAGUUCAAGGUUGCAGUGAGCUAUGAUCAUGUCACUGCACUCCAGCCUGGGUGACAGAGUGAGACCCUGUCUCAAAAAAUAAAAAAUAAAAAGAUAGUAAUAAAAUAGCAUGGGUGAAAUGUUGAGCACAUGAUAGAUUUGCACUUACCUCUUUCUUCCUCUACACAAACCCUUGCCCCAACUAGGCGAAUUUAGACACUCUACCCUAAAAUACAUCUAGCACUUUCUACCCAUCCUUCUGCUCAUGCUGUUUCUCUGCCUCUUCCUCUCCAUUUACUGAACUCUUAACAGUUCUUGGUGAUUCUCACCAUUAUAUGCUCCAGAAGGGAAGUAUAUAAUACAUAUAUAUUUUUGACAGUAUAUACCUGGCCCCUGCCAUAAAUGCACAAUGAUUAUCGCCAAAUAGUUAAAUGAGCACCUUUAGACUUGUUUGAAUGCCUCAGAAAAAUCAUAGAAUUAAAAAGGACCGGCCAGGCAUGGUGGCUCACGUCUGGAAUCCCAGCACUUUGGGAGGCAGAGGUGGGCAAAUCACCUGAGGUCAAGAGUUAGAGACCAGCCUGGCCAACAUGGCGAAAUCCUAUCUCUAUUAAAAAUACAAAAAUUAGGCUGGGUGCGGUGGCUCACACCUGUAAUCCCAGCACUUUGGGAGGCCAAGGUGGGCGGAUCACGAGGUCAGGAGAUCAAGACCAUCCUGGCUAACAAGGUGAAACCCCAUCUCUACUAAAAACAAAAAAAAAUUUAGCCAGGCAUGGUGGCGGGCACCCGUAGUCCCAGUUACUCGGGAGGCUGAGGCAGGAGAAUGGCGUGAACCCGGGAGGUGGAGCUUGCAGUGAGCUAAGAUCGUGCCACUGCACUCCAGCCUGGGCAACAGAGCGAGACUCCAUCUCAAAAAAAAAAAAAAAAAAAAAGCCAGGCAUGAUGGUGCACACCAGUAAUCCCAGCUACUUGGGAGGCUGAGGCAGGAGAAUCACUUGAACCUGGGAGUCGGAGGUUAUAGUGAGCCAAGAUCGUGCCACUGCACUCCAGCUUGGGGGACAGAGCGAGACUCUGUCUCAAAAUAAAUAAAAAAGGGUCUGUGCUUCAAACUCCUUAUUCCACAGGAGGAAACCAAGACCCAAAAAAGAAAUAUGACUUAAAGAGCUAGUUAGCAGCUGACAGGACUAGAUUCGGGUCUCUUUACGGUACUGUUUCCAAUAGGCCACACUUCUUCAGCUUGAUGCACCACUUCAGUGUCUUUACAAGAAAGGAUGUCUAAGCACUGUAACUUCUUUCAAGGCAGAGUCCUGGUCUUUUGAUGUUCCUCAAGAUCCUGUCUUUGGCUCUCUUAUUCUGACACAUUCACACUGAUUUCAUCCAUUUUCUUUUUCUUUUUGUUUUUUUUUGUUUUUUUGAGGCAGAGCCUUGCCCUGUUGCCCAGGCCAGAGUGCAGUGGCAUGAUCUCGGCUCACUGCAACCUCUGUCUCCUGGGUUUAAGCGAUUCUCCUGCCUCAGCCUCCUGAGUAGCUAAGACUACAGGUGCGUGCCAACACUCCCAGCUAAUUUUUUGUAUUUUUAGUAGAGAUGGGGUUUCACCAUAUUGGCCAGGCUGGUCUUGAACUCCUGACCUUGUGAUCCACCCGCCUUGGCCUCUCAAAGUGCUGGGAUGACAGGCUUGAGCCACCGCGCCUGGCCUAUUUUCAGUUUCUUCAACAAAUAUAUCACCAAGGGGAAAAAAUGGAUCAUCCUGGCAUGGUGUCUCAGGCCUGUAAUCCCAGCACUUUGGGAAGCUGAGGCAGGGAUUGCUUGAGGCCACAGUGAGCUAUGAUGGCACCACUGCACUCCAGCCUCGGCAACACAGUGAGACCUUGCCCCCCCGCCCCACCAAAAAAACAAAUAAAUAAAAGGAGUAAGUAGGGAAAUAAUCAGAUUGAAUCGGAAUUAAGAAAUAACAUACAAUUGCAAUGUAUGAGCUUUAUUUUGUCCCUAAUUCAGCCAGCAAACGUUAAAAACCCUUUAUGGGAUAAUAGAUGAAUUUGAACAGAUUGGAUAUAUUAUUAAGCAGCGCUGCCAGUUUUUUAGUUGAGAAAGGGUAAUCAUUUUUUCGUGACUUCUUUUGACUAUUCCAGCUGAAGGUUUAGAAUACAAUGGGAUAUGUCUGGACCCACUUCAAAAUGGCUCCGGCAGACGGGGAGAGUGCGAUUCCACAGGAGCAGGACUGGCCACAAACUGGCAGCUCUUUAAGCUGGCCCACGAGUACGUGAGGGCAGGGGUCGUUCCUCGUUACAUUCUCCUCUUUCCCUUUUUUUUUUUUUUUUUUUUUGAGAUGAAGUCUCGCUCUAUCUCCCAAGCUGGAGUGCAGUGGCACAAUCUCGGCUCACUGCAGCCUCCGCCCCCUGGCUUCAAGCGAUUCCCCUGCCUCAGCCUCCUGAGUAGCUGGGAUUACAGGCCUACGCCACCACGCCCGGCUGAUUUUUUGUAUUUUUGUGGAGACGGGGUUUCACCAUGUUGGCCAGGCUGGUCUCCAACUCCUAACCUCAAGUGAUCCACUCGUCUCGGCCUCCCAAAGUGCUGGGAUUAUAGGCAUGAGCCACCGCGCCCGGCCUCUCUUUCCCUUUUAUAAGUUUGAAAGAUUCCAGAGCAAGAAGUUGAAAGCACAAGGCGGUGAGGCACCCUGCGCACCGAGAGCGACCUCCCCAGCCGGCGGCUGCAAGCGUAUCCCGGAAGCGGGCAGAGGGGCCUCAGGCUCUCUCCCACCAGGGCGGAGGGCCCCAUCCCCUUUCCUAGCGCCCCCGGCGUGGCCGGCGGUUCAAUGACCUAGCCUGAGCCACGCACCAACCAGGAGCGACAGCAGGGACAGCAGCGGUGAUGAACAACCCAUGCUGGCAUCAGGACUGGCGCGCCACGCCGCGCACACCCACGGCCCCGCUGCUCAUCCGCCCUCACGCACCACGGUGGCAGUCGCCUCCUCCACACAUGCGCAUGCUGCUCCACCACCGCCCCUCACCCACCGGUUCAGCGGGGGAAACUGACGGACGCGAGGCGUAGGACUGGCCAUACCACCUGCAGGGCUGCCCAGGGAAGUAAGGAAAAGCAGGUUGAGGGUCCCUAGAGGCCCCUUCACUACUUUUUGAACCUUUGGACAGCUUUCAUUCCCUUUAAGAUUGCUUCUGUGUGUCAAACCAUUGCAAGACCACAAAGGAGGUUUCAACUUAACAUUUAUUUGCACACUCCAGGUCACUGCUGAGCCCCCAAAUCCCACAGCCUAGUAACACCAACUUCACUUUCAAGGACCGCAGAGAUAGACCAACUAUAUAAAUCUUGUGGAAACAUAGUAAUUUGGGUGAGGAAACUAUGAUGCUAGAGGCUUUGGGAUGAAUAUUUUGCAUAAGCAAAAGUUCAGAAGCUUGAAAAUAUAGUCAGCCUACAAAUCUCAAAUUUCACCUGAUAACCGUAGCCCUUAGCCACCAUGCCUUCCAGCUCUCUCAACUCCCUUGCCUCUAGUUUACUCCUCUUCCCAUUUCCUACAACUGUGUAGGGGGAGCAUUUUAGCAAAGCUAUUUCAAAAGUGUGAAAAGUCCAACUGAUCAAUAAAUUUACUCAGAAAUUUACACUAACGGGAUGCUUCCAAAAUUUUAAAUUACUAAGCGUUAUUUAUAUUAGCAUAAAAAUUUUAAAACCAGAUGCUUAACAAUAGGGUACUGCUGAAUAAUUUAACAUAUGUCCACAUAAAAUUAAACCAUUAAAAUCUGCUUUUUCAAGGAAUAUUUAAUAAGGUAGGUAAUAUAUGCUUAUUUAACAUGGAAUUUUAUGUCACUGCUGCUAAAGCAAAACAUCCUGUUCACUGGGUGAAAGACCUGCUUUAUGUGUGUACACUUCAGUGCAAUUUUUAAAAAAUACUGUAAUUAUAAUUUCAGAACUUCCAAAUUUCAACAGAUGCCAGUGUUCUCUCCUUUUUUCACAUGGGAAAAUUCCCUUGAAACUCAUUUGAAGCUUGGACAAAAAUUCCACAGCUGUACUCUUCAGGAUCACUUUGCAGAGUCUUCAAGACUCAGAUACAGAGGAAGCUUCAAUUCAACCUUUCAGAGAAGACAUUCCAGCUCGCAUGAUCUCAUCAACCAAGAGAAUGUUGGUGGCAAUCAGUGCUGAAAGGGGGAUAAAAAUUAGAUAGCUCAGAUGAUUAGGAGCCCUAAUUCGACUCAACUUCCCACUUCCAACUAAGCUGCACACGUUAACAUCCAAUUAAAUUUCCCCCUUCCCCUCUACACAUCAGAGGGCGAGUUCGGUUUCCAUACUUUUCAGCUGAUUACAUUAUUCAUGGGGGAAAAUGAGCAACUAAACAGAAAACACCAAAUGAAAAGAGUAUGAUGAUUCUCUAACAGUUUAGUUUUCAUUUUCCCAAACUUACCAGGAAUGAAGAAGCUGUUUCUUUACACAAUCGUUAUCCCAUAAUGCCUGCUUCUGCUGCUACCACGGGCUCACCUAAAAGGCAACCAAAGUAAGUUCAGUCAAUAAGAACCAACAAUAUUGUGUGUGGCUUUGCUUAUCACCGAUGACUCAUUUCCUCCAGUAUUAACUAUGGGAAUUCAAAGCUUCUCUGUUAGCCCAAUUUUCUACUCUAAACCAUGACCCCUGUCCACAAUAUUUGAGGAGUGUCUGACUUCUACUUAGAAGAUCUGAACACCCCUCUCUCCUUCUGGAUACAUUUCUGUUUACCCAUACUAAAGUACAGCACUGCAACCCUAAUCUGGCUAAAAUGGACUGAUCAUUUCCCUCAUUCCAGAAAUCUUUUUUAUUAAAUAAUAAUGUUGACAGCAAUAGGUCUUGCACAUACUGCAUGGAUGUACCUGUUAUCUGUCUCCCACUUUGUACUUAAUUUGUGUUGUUUUGUUACAGGGGCCUAAGAUCAGGGCUGUCACCAUUUAAUUAGAUUUCUAGAUCCCCUUUUCUGGCAUUAUUUGCUAUCUUUAGCUGUUUUUCACCCAUGAAUAUAAUCACCCAAUCUAUUUUCUUAUCAUAGUACUUGAUUAAAAACUGAGUAAGGUGGCUGGGUGCGGUGCUUCACGCCUGUAAUCCCAGCAUUUUGGGAGGCUGAGGCGGGCGGAUCACGAGGUCAGGAGAUCGAGACCAUCCUGGCUAACACGGUGAAACCCCAUCUCAACUAAAAAUACAAAAAAUUAGCCAGGCGUGGUGGCGGGUGCCUGUAGUCCCAGCUACUCGGGAGGCUGAGGCAGGAGAAUGGCGUGAACCUGGGAGGCAGCAGUUGCAGUGAGCCAAGAUCUUGCCACUGCACUCCAGCCUGGGCAACAGAGCAAGACUCCGUCUCAAAAAGAAAAAAAAAGAAACAAAGAACUGAGUUUAAGGCAAAUGCAAUAUGAAAAUCCUUCAACAUUAAUCUGAACCAUCUACCACCACUCAACAUCUCCAACAAAACUAUACCAAAAUUACUCAGUCUACUCUACUCCCUUAAUUAUUAUACCUAGUCAUUCCAUUUUUUAUUAAUAUCCUAUUUUAUCCCAUUUUAGAACCCAGACUUCCCUAAUAGUACUGGUGUCAAAUUGCAAAGCAAAAGAUUUUUUUUGUGGUCCCCAUUUUGAAUCUUUCCUGGCUUCAACUCACAUGUACUACAUCUAGUUUUUCCUCUACAAACAGUUGCAUUCUCUUACCUGUGUUCAGGUCCACACCCACGAGCUGACCUGAUUCUGAAUGUUCUGCUUAAAUUUUAACUAAUGUUUCCUGAAGGUCAAAACCAGAAUUCUGAGCAAGAACCUAAAGUAAACAAAUAUAAUUCCUGAGAAAACAGGAAGAAUUGAUAUUUAAAAAAAAAAAAAAAAAAAAGGCUGGGCAUAGUGGCUCACACCUGUAAUCCCAGCACGCUGAGAGGCCAAGGCGGGUGGAUCACAAGGUCAAGAGAUCGAGACUAUCCUGGCCAACAUGGUGAAACCCUGUCUCUACUACAAAUACAAAAAAUUAGCUGGGCAUUGUGGCACGUGCCUGUAGUCCCAGCUACUCAGGAGGCUGAGGCAGGAGAAUCGCUUGAACCUGGGAGGUGGAGGUUGCCGUGAGCUGAGAUCAUGCCACUGCACUCCAGCCUGGGCGACAAGAGACUGCAUCUCAAAAAAAAAAAAAAAAAAAGAGCAAAAGAAAA